AAAAAAAUUACGUUAAAUUGUUACAAGAAAAAAAGUUAUGUUGAAGAAUUUUGAGAGUGGUAUAUGUAUGAUGAUGAUUGAACAAUACACCAAAUUUUUUUUUCAUGGCAUACGUUGAGGAAAUUUUUGAUCUGACGCAAGCAUAUAAUUGAUUGAAAAAUAUAUAUAAUCCAUUCCACUUGUAAGAGAAGAAACUCUGUAAAAUUAUAUUAGAUGUUUAUAAUUACAUGUAUGGACAAUAUAGCAAGUUGUAAGAGAAGAACAUAUUUUGAACUGAUGAGUUCCGACGACAGUGGAGAAAAAAAAGUUGGUGGGAGAGCAUGAACAAUCUCAGGGUUUGGAGUGGGAUUGUUUGAGGAGUGUAGUAUUUAUACUUUCAACUAAAAAGUCUCAUGAAAUCCAUCAAAAUCGGUAGGCUUUUGAAUACCAAUUGACAUUCUAUAAAUGACAAGAAAUCUCAAUUGAAUACCAACUGAUUUUAUUGCCCUAAAAAAAAUCGUAAUUGUCUUAAUUGAAUACCACAAGAUUUACUUAACUUUUGUAAAAGUCUUUAUUGAAUACCACAAAACUUUUU
rnacentral:lncRNA from 1 species